rnacentral:rRNA from 1 species
UUGAACGCUGGCGGCAGGCCUAGCACAUGCAAGUCGAGCGGUAACACAGAGAGCUUGCUCUCGGGUGACGAGCGGCGGACGGGUGAGUAAUGUCUGGGAAACUGCCUGAUGGAGGGGGAUAACUACUGGAAACGGUAGCUAAUACCGCAUAACGUCGCAAGACCAAAGUGGGGGACCUUCGGGCCUCAUGCCAUCAGAUGUGCCCAGAUGGGAUUAGCUAGUAGGUGGGGUAACGGCUCACCUAGGCGACGAUCCCUAGCUGGUCUGAGAGGAUGACCAGCCACACUGGAACUGAGACACGGUCCAGACUCCUACGGGAGGCAGCAGUGGGGAAUAUUGCACAAUGGGCGCAAGCCUGAUGCAGCCAUGCCGCGUGUGUGAAGAAGGCCUUCGGGUUGUAAAGCACUUUCAGCGGGGAGGAAGGCGGUGAGGUUAAUAACCUCAUCGAUUGACGUUACCCGCAGAAGAAGCACCGGCUAACUCCGUGCCAGCAGCCGCGGUAAUACGGAGGGUGCAAGCGUUAAUCGGAAUUACUGGGCGUAAAGCGCACGCAGGCGGUCUGUCAAGUCGGAUGUGAAAUCCCCGGGCUCAACCUGGGAACUGCAUUCGAAACUGGCAGGCUAGAGUCUUGUAGAGGGGGGUAGAAUUCCAGGUGUAGCGGUGAAAUGCGUAGAGAUCUGGAGGAAUACCGGUGGCGAAGGCGGCCCCCUGGACAAAGACUGACGCUCAGGUGCGAAAGCGUGGGGAGCAAACAGGAUUAGAUACCCUGGUAGUCCACGCCGUAAACGAUGUCGAUUUGGAGGUUGUGCCCUUGAGGCGUGGCUUCCGGAGCUAACGCGUUAAAUCGACCGCCUGGGGAGUACGGCCGCAAGGUUAAAACUCAAACGAAUUGACGGGGGACCGCACAAGCGGUUGGGCAUGUUGUUUAAUUCGAUGCAGCGCGAAGAACCUUACCUGGUCUUGACAUCCACAGAACUUUCCAGAGAUGGAUUGGUGCCUUCGGGAACUGUGAGACAGGUGCUGCAUGGCUGUCGUCAGCUCGUGUUGUGAAAUGUUGGGUUAAGUCCCGCAACGAGCGCAACCCUUAUCCUUUGUUGCCAGCGGUUAGGCCGGGAACUCAAAGGAGACUGCCAGUGAUAAACUGGAGGAAGGUGGGGAUGACGUCAAGUCAUCAUGGCCCUUACGACCAGGGCUACACACGUGCUACAAUGGCAUAUACAAAGAGAAGCGACCUCGCGAGAGCAAGCGGACCUCAUAAAGUAUGUCGUAGUCCGGAUUGGAGUCUGCAACUCGACUCCAUGAAGUCGGAAUCGCUAGUAAUCGUAGAUCAGAAUGCUACGGUGAAUACGUUCCCGGGCCUUGUACACACCGCCCGUCACACCAUGGGAGUGGGUUGCAAAAGAAGUAGGUAGCUUAACCUUCGGGAGGGCGCUUACCACUUUGUGAUUCAUGACUGGGGUG